rnacentral:rRNA from 1 species
UUAGAGUUUGAUCCUGGCUCAAGAUGAACUCUAGCUACACGCUUAACACAUGCAAGUCGAGGGGAAACGACAUCUAAAGCUUGCUUUUGAUGGGCGUCGACCGGCGCACGGGUGAGUAACGCGUAUCCCACCUGCCCACCACUUGGGAAUAACCUUGCGAAAGUAAGACUAAUACCCAAUGAUAUCUCUAGAAGACAUCUGAAAGAGAUUAAAGAUUUAUCGGUGAUGGAUGGGGAUGCGUCUGAUUAGCUUGUUGGCGGGGUAACGGCCCACCAAGGCAACGAUCAGUAGGGGUUCUGAGAGGAAGGUCCCCCACAUUGGAACUGAGACACGGUCCAAACUCCUACGGGAGGCAGCAGUGAGGAAUAUUGGUCAAUGGGCGAGAGCCUGAACCAGCCAAGUAGCGUGCAGGAAGACGGCCCUAUGGGUUGUAAACUGCUUUUAUAAGGGAAUAAAGUUAGUCUCGUGAGACUUUUUGCAUGUACCUUAUGAAUAAGGACCGGCUAAUUCCGUGCCAGCAGCCGCGGUAAUACGGAAGGUCCGGGCGUUAUCCGGAUUUAUUGGGUUUAAAGGGAGCGUAGGCCGGAGAUUAAGCGUGUUGUGAAAUGUAGACGCUCAACGUCUGCACUGCAGCGCGAACUGGUUUCCUUGAGUACGCACAAAGUGGGCGGAAUUCGUGGUGUAGCGGUGAAAUGCUUAGAUAUCACGAAGAACUCCGAUUGCGAAGGCAGCUCACUGGAGCGCAACUGACGCUGAAGCUCGAAAGUGCGGGUAUCGAACAGGAUUAGAUACCCUGGUAGUCCGCACGGU